rnacentral:rRNA from 1 species
CAGUAGCCGCGGGAAUAUGUAUGUCGCAAGCGUUAUCCGGAAUUAUUGGGCAUAAAGGGCAUCUAGGCGGCCAGGCAAGUCUGGGGUGAAAACCUGCGGCUCAACCGCAGGCCUGCCCUGGAAACUGCGUGGCUAGAGUGCUGGAGAGGUGGACGGAACUGCACGAGUAGAGGUGAAAUUCGUAGAUAUGUGCAGGAAUGCCGAUGAUGAAGAUAGUUCACUGGACGGCAACUGACGCUGAAGUGCGAAAGCCGGGGGAGCGAACAGGAUUAGAUACCCCGGUAGUCCCUGUCUCUUAUAC